rnacentral:rRNA from 1 species
UCAAAGACGAUUAGAUACCGUCCUAGUCUUAACUGUAAACGAUUCCAUCUUAGAAUUGGGUGAAUAUUUGAUGAUUCAUCCAGCGCUAUAAGAGAAAAUCAAAAGUCUUUGGGUUCUUGGUGGAGUACGAUCGCAAGAUUGAAACUUAAAGGAAAUUGACGGUUUUGCACACCAUGGAGUGGAGCCUGUGGCUUAAUUUGACAACACUGGGAAACUCAUCAGGACAACAAAGUUUUAGGAUUGACAGAUUGAUAGCUCUUUCUUGAUUGACUUAAUGGUGGUGCAUGGCCGUUCUUAGUUGGUGGAGUGAUUUGUCUGGUUAAUUCCGUUAACGAACGAGACCUUAACCUACUAACUAGUACGACGUGACGAACGUUAGUUACUUCUUAGAGGGACAAUGUGUAUUUUUAACACAAGGAAGUUUAAGGCAAUAACAGGUCUGUGAUGCCCUUAGAUGUCCUGAGCCGCACACGCGCA